rnacentral:rRNA from 1 species
AAAUUUGAAAUCUGGUAGCCUUCGGUUGCCCGAGUUGUAAUCUAGAGAAGUGUUUUCCGUGCCGGCCCAUGUACAAGUCCCUUGGAACAGGGCGUCAUAGAGGGUGAGAAUCCCGUCCUUGACAUGGACCCCCGGUGCUUUGUGAUACACUUUCAACGAGUCGAGUUGUUUGGGAAUGCAGCUCAAAAUGGGUGGUGAAUUCCAUCUAAAGCUAAAUAUUGGCGAGAGACCGAUAGCGAACAAGUACCGUGAGGGAAAGAUGAAAAGCACUUUGGAAAGAGAGUUAAACAGUACGUGAAAUUGUUGAAAGGGAAACGAUUGAAGUCAGUCAUGCUCUUAGGAUUCAGCCGUUCUGCGGUGUAUUUCCUUUGAGUGGGGUCAACAUCAGUUUUGAUCGAUGGAUAAAGGCACGAGGAAGGUAGCACUCUCGGGUGAACUUAUAGCCUCGCGUCAUAUACAUUGAUUGGGACUGAGGAACGCAGCAUGCCUUUAUGGCCGGGAUUCGUCCACGUACAUGCUUAGGAUGUUGACAUAAUGGCUUUAAACGACCCGUCUUGAAACACGG